AUGAAGACCAGGUUGAACUGCACCAGCACGCAGGGCAGGAGGGCGAAGAGCAGGGUCAGCGCCUGCCAGAUGCGGUCCCCCGCCGAGCGAAACACUGACAUCUGCAGACAAGCUGUUUACUUGCCUACUUCUUAAAAGCUACAAUAAAGUUUGCAACAGGGGACCCAGCAGGACACAAAACAGCAAUGUCUUCUGGAUGGAUGUGAGAAGCCCUGUAUUACAGACAUGAUUAAGCAGGUGAUCCCAAAACAGGAGCCUGAAUGGAAAGAGUGUGAGAUGUGGGCUCUCCAAGGAAACUAGAGGCCUCCUGUUUGGAUUGGAAGGCUUCACGGUUACAAAGAUGGCAAGGGCCUAAUCCUCCACAAUGUUACUUCUGUUUGAUUGGUAUACAACUUUCGUACUACAGUAGAAGUAUUUUGCUGUCUGCAUCCCUUCCAAACAGUGGCAGCCACAUCACAUUUUUGACACCAUUCCCUGAAGUACUGAUUCUCAAGUGAUACCGUCUAGAAUGGCACUGCACUGUUGCUAAUGCAGACUGGCUGAUGCUUUAACAUCACUAAGAAGAGAAAGGCAGAACAUACAGACUGAUGACAGACAGAGAGGGAGAGGCAAAAAAACAAGAAAGCCAAGCAAUAGCCUGUGAGCACAGUAUGAACUUGGAAUAAUUUAGAGAAGGGGUUUCUGGGUCUGCUGGUUACAGAGGCUGAACGCUCAGAUACUGCUCCUUUUGUUUUUGAUUUCUCCUGUAUUCAGAGAAGCAGAACUUUGUGCAUUUCUUGUAAAUAAACAAGAUUGCAUCAAA